rnacentral:rRNA from 1 species
GAUGAACGCUAGCGGCGUGCUUAACACAUGCAAGUCGAACGGAAAGGCCCUGCUUGCAGGGUACUCGAGUGGCGAACGGGUGAGUAACACGUGGGUGAUCUGCCCUGUACUUUGGGAUAAGCCUGGGAAACUGGGUCUAAUACCGAAUAUGACAAUUGUUUGGAUGCGAUUGUGGAAAGCUUUUGCGGUAUGGGAUGAGCUCGCGGCCUAUCAGCUUGUUGGUGGGGUAAUGGCCUACCAAGGCGUCGACGGGUAGCCGGCCUGAGAGGGUGUACGGCCACAUUGGGACUGAGAUACGGCCCAGACUCCUACGGGAGGCAGCAGUGGGGAAUAUUGCACAAUGGGCGCAAGCCUGAUGCAGCGACGCCGCGUGGGGGAUGACGGCCUUCGGGUUGUAAACUCCUUUCGCAACCGACGAAGCCUUUUGGUGACGGUAGGUUGAGAAGAAGCACCGGCUAACUACGUG